UGAAAUCGAGAUGGAUACAUGCACGGUAUACUGUGAUUUGUUUAGUCAUCAAUAUUCCCAUUUAUUUGUAUGCUUCUUUUAUUUCUCAUCUUUAGCCCUCUUUUAGUUUUUUUUUUUUUUUUUUUUUUCCCCCAUCACCAUGUCUGCCUUGGGCAACUACAGAGCAUUGCUGUAUCUGUGUAUUGAGUGUGUGAGGCCACUGCAUGGGUCACAUUACAUCAUUGGUGGACACAGUUCUUGGACACAGACCUUCUAAAGCCUUUGAGCAGCCCAUUAGCUGCCAUGUGGCCUUUUAACAUAAACCCUCAGGACUGGUAAAUGAAAUGGAUUGGCAUUUCAGGUUUGACCUAACCAAGUGUCUGUACACCUUUUGUAACUGAAUAUUUGUUUUUUCAUCCAAACCAUGUCUAGAGGAGGCAAACAUGCUCCCUGUCCUCACUUUGCGCUCCUACAGUUUAUUACUCCCGUCCCUGACUGUGCCUGCAGUUCCUCAAUGCAUACACACUCCCAAGUGGUGUCUUAACCACUGAGGUCUACUACCACCAAGCAAGCAUACGUGGUGCUGAGCAGUCCCAUAUUGUUGUUUUUCUUACAGAGACAGAGCCUGCAGCUUCAUUCAGAUCUCUGUGGUGUUUGGGUGAUGUUUGAAUCAGUGUUUGCUACACGCUGCCCAGUAUAAUGAUCUCCUGUGAUGACAUUAAAAUGUUGGAAUUUGAA